UGGGUUACAUGACAUGCCAUUUUAAAGGGAGGAAGGAGGGAGGGAGGUUUCAGCAUCGCCUGUGUUCGCACACAGUAUAGAUCUGUAGAAGGAUGAAGCAUCUCCAUGGCAACCAGGCCACACAGAGCAAACUGCUGUCCCCAAGUCCUGCUGAGCCAUGACGCACCAUGAAGGACGCAGAUGAGGUUCCAUUCAGAGCCAAGCAUGUGCCCUCCAGCCCAGCAGAGCUGAGAGGAUGAGAAUGGGUGGGAGGAAGGAAGGAACGGGAUGGAUCCAGUACAGAGUUCACGCCACAGAAUCCAUCCGUGGUUACUGGACCUCUCCAUUUCUGUGUGUCCAGGGUCCAGAGCAAGGCACAGAGAAGAGCUUGCUGCUGUGUGUGUUUGAGGAGAGAACAAAUGAAGGAGGGGUGUCUUGAGCCAUCAUGAAGAUGCACUGUUAGCUCAGCAGGAAACUUCUUUGGAAAAGCAUGAGGCUCCUUUCCUACCUGGGGAUGGUGGGUGGCAGAAGAGCCGGCAGCUGCUCUAGACCAGACUCCCCUGUCCUCCUUCUGACUUGCCAGUCCCCUGCAGGAGACUCUGAACAUCCCCUAGCCUGUCAGUCUCCUUUCCUCCCCCACGUGUGGGAGUACACUGUCCAGCUCUAGGGAAGGUUUUGAGGAUUAACAUGAGGACAGCUAUAGGACCUGGGGGUAAAGGACUCAGUGUUCUAGUGAGGGUUUUCUUUGUUUGUUUGUUGUUGUUUUUAAUAGGGACUUACUAUGUAGCCAUAGAUGGCCCUUGGAACUCACAAUCCUCCUGCCUCUGCCUCCUAAGUACUCAGACUGCAGGUGAGUGCCACCACAUCCAGCUUAGUGAGGGCAUCGGAUCCCUGGGAACUUGGAGUUAAUUGGUUGUGAGGCUCCUGAUGUAGAUGCUGGAAACCAAACCUGUGUCCUCUACAAGAGCAGAAAGCACUCUCCACCUGUGAGCAUCUCCCUCGCCUCUCAGCCUGAGUGGGCAUAUCCAGGAUAUUUGCAGUCCACUCUGGUGUUUGGAUGUUCCAGAUUUAGCAAGAGCAAUAAGAGAUUUUUUUUUCAAGUCAUGGAUACUGUUAGUGAGAAGUUAGAAACAUGGGGCUAAAGACAUGGCUCAGUGGUUAAGAGCACUGACUGUUUUUCCGAAGGUCCUGAGUUCAAAUCCCAACAACCACAUGGUGGCUCACAACUAUCCUUAAGGAGACCUGACACCCUCUUCUGGUGUGUCUGAAGACAGCUACAGUGUACUUACAUAUAAUAAUAAGGACUGGAGCAAGCAGAGGUCCUGAGUUCAAUUUCCAGCAAUCAUAUGAUGACUCAAAACCAUCUGCACAGCUACAGUGUACACAUAUACAUUAAAUAAAUAAAUAAAUAAGACAGAGAGAGAACUUAGAAACAAGUGCAAACCCCCAAGCAAAGGCGGCCAGCAGAGGAUUCUCCGGUGAGGAGUCCCUGCAAGCAAGCAUUGUGUGGCUCCUGGCUGCCAGAGAGCAGAGUGUGGACAGCUUGGAGUGCUUUGGGUCUAAGAAAUGUUAUGUUGAAGCACAGCAGCCCCCUGUGAUUGGAAGCUCUCUGAAAAGGCCACACACGUGUUGAAGAUUCCUAAGACUGCAGAUGCUAAUUCCAGCUUGUGAAGAACUGGAGACUGAGAGCCAAGUGAUCUUCGAUGCUUAGACCUGUUAAUGGCCAGCCACUUCCUGUCCAUGUCUAUAUCUGAUCUGACAUCCUUUUUGACUAUUAGACUUUGGCUGACCCAGGGCUGGGGUGGAGGGGACCCACUGCAUGAGAAUCAGCUGCAGACUGCUUCCUACCUUUCAUCAGCUUGUCCUCCCUCAUCUUCUGGAACCUUGGCACCCUACAUCUGGGCAGCGACAUGGUGCCUGAGGCUAAGUGUGCAGGGUGACUCUGCUAACGUGUGCGGUUCCUCAACAAAAUGUGUCCUCCUUGACCACGAAGUUUAAUGUGGGCUUAUGUGAUAGCUAAAGCCUAAGAAUGCAAAAUCAGAAAUUGCUAGCCAGCCGGGCGUGGUGGCGCACGCCUUUAAUCCCAGCACUCGGGAGGCAGAGGCAGGCAGAUUUCUGAGUUCAAGGCCAGCCUGGUCUACAAAGUGAGUUCCAGGACAGCCAGGGCUACACAGAGAAACCCUGUCUCAAAAAAACAAAAAAACAAAAAAAAGGAAAAAAAAAGAAAUUGCUAGCCACCCUUAUGGUGUGGGCCGGAACUGUCAAGUGUCACUUCCACCAUACUUUCUUAAUUAAAGUGAAGUGAAGGGUGAGCCCACAUAACUGGAGGUACCACAUGAGGUUGUGGGUACCAGCAGAUGUGGUCUCGUGGGGUAAUCUUCCAGUGCUAGCUACUUCUUUAGGGAAGGCUGCCUACACACUGAAGUUGUAGCUAUGAGAUGUAGUCAUGGAGUUUAGAAAUGGUAGGAAAAUCCUGAGUGGUCCUAUUUUCUGAUCUUGCUACUUUUAGCAAAGUUCUACAAGAGAGAAAAAGAUGGGGAAAUCAAGCGGGAACUAUUUUUCCUGCUGUUCACCUUGCUGAGGGGAGGAGCCCUGCUGUAACCUAUAAU